GACGAGGGUGGCCGAGUGUCAGAGCGAUGGACUGCUAAUGCCAUUGUGCUCUGCACGCGUGGGGUUCGAAUCCCCAUACUCGUCG
rnacentral:tRNA from 1 species